CUCUAAAAUAGAAUAACUCUAUAAUAGAGUUUGAAUUUGCUCCAAUGAUAUUUUAUUUUAGAGUAAACAAUAGAAUGAUGAACAAAAAAAACAUUAAUUUAUAUUUGGAGUAAACCAAUUUUUCACUCUAUUAUAGAGUACUAGAAAUAUUUUUUACUCUAAACUAUAUUUUAAAAUAAAAAAUAGAAUGAGGUUAGAAAUGCUCUAAAUGUUUCAUAUAUGGUCAACUAAUUUUCAGCGUUCAUACCAAUGUCUUUACUUGGAAGUCUCCGUCUUAUAUUCGUUCGAUGUUGUUAAUUACUUGGAGCAUUCUGUCUUAUAUUCGUUCGAUGUUAUUAACUGAAUAAUUACUCACAUUUUGAAACUUGUACGUCUCUUUCUCUCUC
rnacentral:lncRNA from 1 species